UACGGGGGGAGCAAGCGUUGUUCGGAUUUACUGGGCGUAAAGGGCGCGUAGGCGGCCACUGCAAGUCAAUUGUGAAAUCUCCGGGCUUAACUCGGAAAGGUCAACUGAUACUGCGGGGCUAGAGUGCGGAAGGGGCAACUGGAAUUCUCGGUGUAGCGGUGAAAUGCGUAGAUAUCGAGAGGAACACCUGCGGCGAAGGCGGGUUGCUGGGCCGACACUGACGCUGAGGCGCGAAAGCCAGGGGAGCGAACGGG
rnacentral:rRNA from 1 species